rnacentral:rRNA from 1 species
AUACGUAGGUGACAAGCGUUAUCCGGAUUUACUGGGCGUAAAGGGCGUGUAGGCGGUCUUGCAAGUCAGAAGUGAAAUUCCUGAGCUCAACUCGGGCGCUGCUUCUGAAACUGCAGGACUUGAGUGCUGGAGGGGAUAGCGGAAUUCCUAGUGGAGCGGUAAAAUGCGCAGAUAUUAGGAAGAACACCGGUGGCGAAGGCGGCUAUCUGGACAGUAACUGACGCUGAGGCGCGAAAGCGUGGGGAGCAAACAGGAUUAGAUGCCCUGGUAGUCCACGCCGUAAACGAUGAAUACUAGGUGUAGGGGGUAUCGACUCCCUCUGUGCCGCAGUUAACACAAUAAGUAUUCCGCCUGGGGAGUACGGCCGCAAGGCUGAAACUCAAAGGAAUUGACGGGG